AACACGCUGACAAAUGCUGUUCUAAUUCCAGCCCUUUCUCUCAGGCCAGUCACCUUUCCACCUCAACAUUCUGCUGACAAGGCUCAGGAUGCAACAGUCCAAAGCACACCUUUCAGCUUUUGGAGUUGAGACUACUGAGGUGAAGACUGUGUCAAAGAGGUCAUAAAUAAAGCCACUGCUUUGGAUAAUUAA